rnacentral:rRNA from 1 species
UAGGGAAUCUUCCACAAUGGACGCAAGUCUGAUGGAGCAACGCCGCGUGAGUGAAGAAGAUCUUCGGAUCGUAAAACUCUGUUGUUAGAGAAGAACACGAGUGAGAGUAACUGUUCAUUCGAUGACGGUAUCUUACCAGAAAGGGACGGCUAACUACGUGCCAG